rnacentral:rRNA from 1 species
GACAGAGGGUGCAAACGUUGUUCGGAAUUACUGGGCGUAAAGCGCGUGUAGGCGGCCCUGUAAGUCGGGUGUGAAAUCCCACGGCUCAACCGUGGAAGUGCACCCGAAACUGCGUAGCUAGAGUCCUGGAGAGGAAGGUGGAAUGCUUGGUGUAGAGGUGAAAUUCGUAGAUAUCAAGCGGAACACCGGUGGCGAAGGCGGCCUUCUGGACAGUGACUGACGCUGAGACGCGAAAGCGUGGGGAGCAAACAGG